AUUGAACGCUAGCGGGAUGCCUUACACAUGCAAGUCGAACGGAGUGGCGAACGGGUGAGUACUGUAUCGGAACGUUCCCAUUAGCGGGGGAUAACUACGCGAAAGCGUAUCUAAUACCGCAUACUAUUGGAGCGGCCGAUAUCGGAUUAGCUAGCUGGUGGGGUAACGGCUACCCAAGUCGACGAUCCGUAGCUGGUUUGCGAGGAAGACCAGCCACACUGGGACUGCGACACGGCCCAGACUCCUACGGGAGGCAGCAGUGGUGAAGUUUGGACAAUGGGUGAAACCAUGAUCCAGCCAUCCCGCGUGUGCGAUGAAGGCCUUCGGGUUGUACAGCACUUUUGGCAGGAAAGCGGUACCUGCAGAAUAAGCACCUGCUAACUACGUGCCAGCAGCCGCGGUAAUUC
rnacentral:rRNA from 1 species